CCGAGUUAUCAACUCCCAAACCCAUGUGAACUUAUCUCUUUGUUGCCUCGGCGCAAGCUACCCGGGACCUCGCGCCCCGGGCGGCCCGCCGGCGGACAAACCAAAACUCUUGUUAUCUUAGUUGAUUAUCUGAGUGUCUUAUUUAAUAAGUCCA
rnacentral:misc_RNA from 1 species